rnacentral:rRNA from 1 species
AAUCAACGCUGGCGGCGUGCCUCAGACAUGCAAGUCGAACGAUUAAAGCUCUCUUCGGAGAGUGCAUAGAGUGGCGCACGGGUGAGUAACACGUAAGUAAUCUACCUUUGAGUGGGGAAUAACGUCCGGAAACGGACGCUAAUACCGCAUAAUGCAGCGGCAUCGCAAGAUGACAGUUUGUUAAAGAUUUAUCGCUUGAAGAGGAGCUUGCGGCAGAUUAGCUAGUUGGUAAGGUAAUGGCUUACCAAGGCUACGAUCUGUAACCGGUCUAAGAGGACGGUCGGUCACACUGACACUGAAUAACGGGUCAGACUCCUACGGGAGGCAGCAGUCGGGAAUUUUGGGCAAUGGGCGAAGCCUGACCCAAGCAACGCCGCGUGAAGGAUGAAGUA